AGCUUUGUGCAGUGGCAGUAUCAUAGCCAAUGAGGUCUAUAUGAGGAGUGAUUACUGCUAAUUGAAAACUUUUCCCAAGAGU
rnacentral:snRNA from 1 species